rnacentral:tRNA from 1 species
GGUAAGAUGGCUGAGUGCUAAGCGGUGGAUUGUAGCUCCAUAAACAGAGGUUCAAUCCCUCUUCUUAUCAA